rnacentral:rRNA from 1 species
AGCAGCCGCGGUAAUUCCAGCUCCAAUAGCGUAUAUUAAAGUUGUUGCAGUUAAAAGCUCGUAGUUGAAUUUUGGGUCUGGCCGGGCGGUCCGCCCUCCGGGUGAGCACUGUUCCGACGCCGGGCCUAUCCUUCUGGUGAGUCGGCAUGUCCUUUACUGGGUGUGUCGGGGAACCAGGACCAUUACCUUGAAAAAUUAGAGUGUUCAAAGCAGGCGUAUGCUCGGAUACAUUAGCAUGGAAUAAUGAAAUAGGACGUUCGAUCCUAUUUUGUUGGUUUCUAGGAUUGACGUAAUGAUUAAUAGGGAUAGUUGGGGGCAUUAGUAUUCAAUUGUCAGAGGUGAAAUUCUUGGAUUUAUUGAAGACUAACUACUGCGAAAGCAUUUGCCAAGGAUGUUUUCAUUAAUCAAGAACGAAAGUUAGGGGAUCGAAGACGAUCAGAUACCGUCGUAGUCUUAACCAUAAACUAUGCCGACUAGGGAUCGGAUGAUGUUAAUUUUUUAAUGACUCAUUCGGCGCCUUACGGGAAACCAAAGUGUUU